AAUUGACGGAAGGGCACCACCAGGAGUGGAGCCUGCGGCUUAAUUUGACUCAACACGGGGAAACUCACCAGGUCCAGACACAAUAAGGAUUGACAGAUUGAUAGCUCUUUCUUGAUUUUGUGGGUGGUGGUGCAUGGCCGUUCUUAGUUGGUGGAGUGAUUUGUCUGCUUAAUUGCGAUAACGAACGAGACCUUGACCUACUAAAUAGCUCUACUUGCGAUUGCAGGUAGCUAGCUUCUUAGAGGGACUAUCUAUUAC
rnacentral:rRNA from 1 species